rnacentral:tRNA from 1 species
AUUUUAAUAGUUUAAUAAAAAACUUUGAUUUUGUAAUUCAAAAAUACUCAUCGUUUAAAAUC